GCGCUUGCUUUGGCAGCACAGAUACUAAAAUUGAAAUGAUACAGAGAAGAUUAGCAGGACCCUUGGACAAAGAUGACAUGCAUAUCUCUGAAGCAUUCCAUAUUUUG
ensembl:snRNA U6 U6 spliceosomal RNA